rnacentral:lncRNA from 1 species
AGUCGGAUGCUGAUGCCUCCGCGCCGGGGUUCCCGUGCCCUGGGGAGCCCUUAGCUUUUUGUUUGCCUCCUCAGCGGGAGGCUGUUUUUGUUUAUUUGUUAAAAAAAAAAUAUCUUACUCCCCCUGCGAGGAAUCGGUAAAGGUGAUGAAAACUCCAAACUAAAAUAUCGAAAUGGCCACAGAAUCCGACUUACUGAGAGACCCACGUGAUAAAAUGAAUGAUAUUCCUAGGCAGCUUCAAAUUGAACAUAUUUUAAAAGACCCAAAUAUGCAGAACAGCAUGUCUAAAGGAGGCAGAGGUGAUGUACUAGUAAACUCCACAGAUGAACAAAGUUCUUUACCUCCUCUUAUUGUUGAGUAUGAGAAACAUCUGGAAGAGCUAAGCAGACAAUUGACCUAUUACCAGAAACACAUGGGUGAGAUGAAACUACAACUUGAAACUGUCAUCACUGAAAACGAAAGGUUGCACAGUAAAUUAAAAGAUGCUGUUGAAAAGCAAUUGGAAGCCCUUCCCUUUGGCACAGGGAUAGGAAAUGACAUCUGUGCAGAUGAUGAGACUGUGAGGAACCUUCAGGAACAGUUGCAACUAGCCAAUCAGGAGAAAGCUUGGGCUCUGGAACUCUGGCAGACUGCUUCUCAGGAGUUGGAAAGUAUACGGAAACUCUACCAGGAACAUAUGACUGAAGCCCAGAUUCAUGUAUUUGAAAAUCAAAAGCAAAAGGAUCAGCUGAAUAAUUUUCAACAACUAACCAAGAAACUUCAUGUUGCUAAUGAGAACAUAGAAAUGACUAACCAACACUUCCUGAAAACAGUAACUGAACAAAGUAUGGAGAUUGAGAAACUUCGAAAACAUCUUAGUGUGUGCAGGUGGUGUCUCUUCCUCUCCUGGUGGGUACGGGUCCAAGGUUGUCUUCAGGUGGGUGCAAGCAGGUCCAAUACUCUGAUGUGUCUCAUGAUGUGUUCACCGGCGUCUGAGAUACUCCUUCUCCCAGUGGGCGGAGGUGGGACUAGCACUGCAAUGUCAGAAGACUCUGGAUGGCUUUAUCCACCUGAGGUAAUUCAACCUACUUGUAGUCCCCAAUCCAGGAGAUCCCAAAGAGGGCAAGUUUGAGUCGGGCUUGAGACUGGGGCCCACACUCACCUUGCCUCUGAG